AGAUGGCUACAAGAAGACGUAGAGAGUUAGCUGAUUAUAGGAGGUUUGAAAUGGAGGAUGAAGUUCAUGAUAGACUGCAAUUUGCAUCCAAAUCUGAUGAUGUUGAACUGGUUGAAUCUGAUGAUGAUUUUUGUGAAUCAUAUCACAACAAGCUUAAGGAACUGAAAAGGAAACUUGAGUUGUCUAUUAGUCAUGAGAAAAAGAAGAUGAAAUUAGCUGAGAAACCCAAGGAUGCCUUCACUUGUUUCUCUGUUAUGACCCUUUCAACAGUUUUAGAAUCUCUAACUCCCAAUGAGAGACACAUUAUUGAAUGAUAUGGUUUUGGAUAUCUGCUGCAAUUUGAUAAGUGCUUUGUCCCAAACCAAUUUGCUAAGUGGGUUGCUAAUGUUGUUGACUAUAAAUCUGGGGAUAUAGUUGUUGAUGGGAAGGUUAUUUCUCUGACCAAGGAAUCUUUUCAUUACAUGCUUGGCAUUCCUAUUGGUGGAUCUACUUUUCCCAAUGAUACCAUCUGGCAAAGCUUUUGUUCUCGAUAAGUUUCACAAGACUUGCAUUCCGUCAGUCAAAUUUUUCGCUAAUCAGCUCACCAAGAAAGAAGAAAAUUUGUCUGAUGAGGAUGUUUUCAUAUGCUUUAUCAUUGUUGCGUUGAAUACUUUCUCGUGUCCAAACUCUUCUGUGACUCCAAGCUACAAGCAUUUUGGAAUUUUUUCUGAUGUUGGAAAGGCUAAAGAUUUUUACUGGUCCGGCUAUGUUCUGAAUUGGCUACUUGAGUCUAUAAAGGUGUUCAAAAAAGCUAAGUCUUCUAAACCAAAUGAGCCAACUACUCUUGGUGGUUGUUUGUACUACCUUGGUGUGUUGUACCUCGAUUAUGUUGAUUUUAGCCCUCGUCGUCUCCCUCAUACAUUCCCCUGUAUAUCUUUUUGGAAAUGAGAUAUGAUUAAGACAUAUUCUGAACUUGACCUCAAGUCUCCUGGUUGUUAUGGUUUUUGUCCUAUCUACAAUUCUUGUGAUACCUGUUAUUCAAAGGACCUCCACUUAGUCAACUCUGCUAGUGCAUCUCUAUCUGAUGAUCCUGCAUUCAUGGAUAAGUUUGAUUCAGCUUCAGGGUGUAAGCUUCCUGUUGAUUUGAAGAAAUUGAUAUGCAAAGCUAUUAAAAAUCAUUGUCUUAAUAGUGGACUUAGACUUGAUUUGGAUGUGACUACUUUGUCAUCUCUACCAUCCCAUUUGAUAAGUACAUUCACUAAACUUUGAGGCAUGCAUCUAGUAUUGAUUCAGGAUCCAAGAAAUUAGUUUUGGGAGUUUUGAAGAUAAUUACUGAAUUCUAUGAUGAUCAUGAUGUCAUUUCUCCCAAUUAUUCUUCUGAAAAAGAUAUCGCAUCAGAUGUGAACAAUGUGCACCAAAAAGAAUCACAAUGUUUUGGUCUUUCUGGUUUUGCCAUUCCUAGUAACGUUGAUAUUCCUAAUUCUUCUCUUGGUUUCAAUACCAAUCAAUUAGCUUCACAUGUGCCUCCUCAGCUACCACCGUCCUGCCUCAGAAAGAAUUCCUCUGUUAGUAGUCACUCUAGUAACAAAGAUUCAACUCUACAAAGUGAUCAUUUGGCUCGCUCGGAUUCGAUACCAUCAUAAUCCAAUUUCAAUUCUCCUUUGAUCAAUCAGGAAAAUGUUAACGAAAUUUGGGAGAAGUUGUCUCAACGCAAAAAUGCUUUUGUUACGCCCAUGUUGAACAGUAAGGAACUUCAAAGUAACACAAGUGGUCAUCCUCAUCGUGUGUUUUAAUUAUUUUUUGCAUCUUAUGUGUUUCUUUCUGUUUUGUAGUUUUUUAAAUGCUUUUACACAUUUGGUUUAUUAUUUUCAUAAUGUUAGUGAGAUGACAAUAUUAGUGGAGUCAAUGAUAAAUUUAGUAGCGGAAAGUCAGUCUCUCUAUCUGGUGUUGGUUCUGAUCAAAGCCCUCUUCAAGACAUUUCUAAUGAUGUGGCUGUCACUGAUCGUACUCUGAAUUCAAGUUUGAGUCGUUGCAGCGUGAUGUUGCUAAAGACAUUAUUUUUCUUGAAAAUGACAUUGACUUUGUUCCAGAUUCCUUUUCACCUCAAGCUAGACCUCUAUGUGAUAAGAUGCCUUUUUUUGCCCAGUUAUUUUUUGUUCCUCUUUUCUUCUUAUUUUAUCUUUUCUUAAUGUAAUUUUGAAUUUUUCUAGGAGAGUUCUCCUCCUAGACUUACCCCGAACUUGUCUAAGAAGCGUGAAGGUUCAUCUUUUAAACAUAAUGUUAGUUUUGCUUUGGAUUCCAAUGCUGUGCACAUUCAGCAAUCCCCUGAGGUUCAAGUGUUGAAAGAAGCUACUUUAUUUCAAAGAGUUCGUGAUAUGAUUGGAAGAUCUGAUGAAAUGUACAACAAGAAGUUCUGUUCAACUUCAAGUUUUAUUAAUACUCCAUUUGGUUCUAUUGCUCCUACUCUUCAUGGUCAUUGUUCAGAAAACUCUUCAUAUCCCUUGGUUAGUCAUCAGUAUAGAGAUCCUUCCACAGGUGGUAAGGUGCCAAUUCAUUGACCAAGAAGAGUUGUAAAGCCUGGUACCCUUUUCCAUGGUGACUAUGAAACUUCAAAAUCUAAAAUUUUUAUCUCUGCAUCAAAGUUGAGGAACUACAAAGCUAUAUGCAAUCUUGCUUCUUCACAAUUCAGCAAGUACGUGCAAUAAAACUUAUAUUAUGUGUUAUCUUACUGUAUUAGUAAUUUUUUUCCUUUUUGCAUACUGUAAGAUAUUCUUUUCUACAUCUGACGAUAUGCUUGUUUUCAGUGAGGAUGCAGUUUCUAUUUCCAAAGUGUGUUGCACCUUUUGGUCACCAGGAGAAUCUUUGAAGCUAGGGGGAUUAGUCAAUUCUUUUGUUAUUUCUGCAUUUUGCUACAGCCUAUAUAUCAAUCCUGCCAUUGCCCCUGAUGUGUCGAAGUCACAUUAUUUUUUUUGCAAAUAUUGAUGUGCUCAUCUAUAUUUUUUACUCUUUACAAUUUCUGCACUUCUUUUAAAUAAUUAUCACAGUUCUUUGCAUUCAUUUCUCAUAGGAGAAUUUGUUCAAGGAUUCUGAUGAAGCUAAUGAAGAUAUUAUUGCUCGAGUAUUCAAAAGAUCAUAUAGAAACAUGCCUUUGAAUCAUUGCAAUAAUGUACAUUUCUCUUUUUCAUAUAUUUAUUUUCUUAAUUUUUUGCUAAAUGUUUGUUAAUUAAACUUCUAUAUAUAAUCUGUCUCAUGCAGUUGUAUUUCCCAAUUUGCGUCAACAAUCACUGGUUUGUCUUUGUGCUUGAUAUUAAGGAUCACAAGUUUGUAUUUCUGAAUUCUUUGUACCCCAAAGGUCAUGAAUUUCAAGAAAUUGCCAGAGAUUAUUUGGUUAGAUAUAUUCACCUUUAUCCCUAUUUUCAACUUUCUUUAUGUUGUGUAGGUGAAUGGACAGUUUAUCAUUUUUCAGUACUAAUACAGUUAUUAUUUUAAUUUCGUGCAGGUUCCUGCUUUUCAAAUGUACUGGGACAAAUUUGUGCAAGUUGACAUGGAUUUUGAUCAAUAUGAGUACUUAUAUCCUGAUGUUCUGCUUCAGCCAUCGGAUGUGUAUCAGUUUUAUGACUGUAACUACAAUUUGUUGAGAUCAUUUUGUUGUUGUGUUGACUCUCACAUUUAUACAAUGAUGUUUCUUCAGUAUUGGAAAUCUCCAAGAACUGUUCUGCGCAAUAUUUUCGAUUUGUCUGACAUUCCCAAAAAUAACAGUCAAAUCGCUAAUGAUCUUUUAUUUCUUCCAGGCAAUUCUAGAAUGAAGAACCGUGUAAUUGAAUAUAAGUUCUAAGGCAAGCAGUGAAGAUCACAAAUUUUCCUUUGUUGCCCAUAAUCUUGAAGCCGUGAAGAAUUGUUAGAUGACAAAUGAAAGCGAGGAAGAUAUAAUAGUAGAUUUACUAUCUCACAUGCAUGUCUCUUGAUAGUUCUAGUAUCUGUGAUAUGAAGGAUUUACAAUAAUAGGUUCCAAACACCUUGGUUUGUAAUAGGAAAUAGUACUUACGACCUAUUACAACUAAACAGUGUUUUCCAAAAUAUGUGUUCUAUAUUACUUCUAUUUUUCUC